ensembl:processed_transcript 2210408F21Rik RIKEN cDNA 2210408F21 gene
GAGGAACCUGAUCCUCGGUAGCGAAGGGCUGGAGGCAAACACCGAGCUCCCCCUGAGCCGCCUGGGAGCAGGGAGGGUUCUGCUACCCUGAGGGGCCCUCCCCGCGGGGCAGAGGGUGGGAGGAAGUCACAGCAUCUACUUCUGAAUCUGUGCUUGCCUUGAGGAAAAACGGCAUGGCACAGGAAUGUGGACGCUUUCAACCAGAGGAUUCUGUACGACGGUGUCGGCACACACUCAUCCUCGUCUACGGCCAAACGUUGGUUUCUCAUUUCUAGAAGAUGAAAGAUGUGAUGACUCAGGAAAAACUUGCUGCUCGAGAUGUGAGUCUUCAGAUGUUCCUGCCGCCAUAUCUGACAGCUGCUGCCAAGAUUCCCUGGUGGGAUGGACUCUUAUACCUCAACAACCAGAAGCCCAAGUAAACUCUUCUAUAAAUUGAAUGACUCAUGCUUAAAAAAAAAAAC